GACGGAGGAUGCAAGCGUUAUCCGGAAUUAUUGGGCGUAAAGCGUACGUAGGCUGUUUAAUAAGUCUGUUGUCAAAGACUGAGGCUUAACCUUGGGAAGGCAAUGGAAACUGUAAGACUAGAGAGAGAUAGGGGCAGGAGGAAUUCCAGGUGUAGCGGUGAAAUGCGUAGAUAUCUGGAAGAACACCAGUGGCGAAAGCGUCCUGCUGGGUCUCAACUGACGCUGAAGUACGAAAGCUAGGGGAGCGAAUGGGAUUAGAUACCCCAGUAGUCCUAGCCGUAAACGAUGGACACUAGGUGUUGGCCGUAUCGACCCGGUCAGUGCCGUAGCUAACGCGUUAAGUGUCCCGCCUGGGGAGUACGGUCGCAAGAUUG
rnacentral:rRNA from 1 species